rnacentral:rRNA from 1 species
AUUGAACGCUGGCGGCAGGCUUAACACAUGCAAGUCGAGCGGGGUGAUGGUGCUUGCACUAUCACUUAGCGGCGGACGGGUGAGUAAUGCUUAGGAAUCUGCCUAUUAGUGGAGGACAACAUCUCGAAAGGGAUGCUAAUACCGCAUACGUCCUACGGGAGAAAGCAGGGGAUCACUUGUGACCUUGCGCUAAUAGAUGAGCCUAAGUCGGAUUAGCUAGUUGGGUGGGUAAAGGCCUACCAAGGCGACGAUCUGUAGCGGGUCUGAGAGGAUGAUCCGCCACACUGGGGCUGAGACACGGCCCAGACUCCUACGGGAGGCAGCAGUGGGGAAUAUUGGACAAUGGGGGGAACCCUGAUCCAGCCAUGCCGCGUGUGUGAAGAAGGCCUUAUGGUUGUAAAGCACUUUAAGCGAGGAGGAGGCUCUUUUGGUUAAUACCCAAGAUGAGUGGACGUUACUCGCAGAAUAAGCACCGGCUAACUCUGUGCCAGCCGCCGCCGUAA